rnacentral:tRNA from 1 species
GAGAAGAGUCAAGAGACCCAGAAAUUGCUAACUAUCUGAUACUAUGGUUAAAAUCCUUAGUCUACUCG